AAAACCCUUCCACUUGAACAAAAGAGUGAGUUAGCUAAUUGCUACCAACUGAGUAGGGUUUAAGACAAUGCGAACCUCCAUGGGCACGCUUUCAAGGACCCUUCAUCGCUCUCUACUAUCCACCCUCAAUCCCAACCACCACCUUCCACGGCACUUCUCCACCACCCUCCUCUCCGACUCCGACGACUCCCCCCCCGGNNNNNNNNNNNNNNNNNNNNNNNNNNNNNNNNNNNNNNNNNNNNNNNNNNNNNNNNNNNNNNNNNNNNNNNNNNNNNNNNNNNNNNNNNNNNNNNNNNNAGAAAAGAGUGAAGCUCAAUCACAUUUCAGGCCACAAUGCAGAGCAUAGGUAGCUUAGGGCCUGGGUGAGAUGGUCCUAAUUCAAGAAGCCCCCCUCCUUACCGUAAACUAUUUUGUAUACUGCCAUUUUUCUUGACUUGUUAUUCCAUUUAAAAUCUCUGUAAGGUGUAAUUGUUGUAUCAAAAGUUCAUUUGGAUUUUCAUGACAUAACAUACCUGGAUCGAUCCCCUUCCUAAGAAAAGAAUAUAGUUUGUUGCACCUUGAUUUGACAUUUCGCCCCCUCAUUUUUAAUACAAGUAGAAGACUUUACAAAGGGUUGGAUGACAAUGGAGAUUGUUAUAGAACGUAAAAGUUCUCAUACAUAGAAAUUCAUCUAGAGAAGGGAGUGAAUACAUUUUUGUGCUACUCCAUUAUACCACAGUUUGUAACAAUAACUUUCGAAUAAGGGCGGUUGAAUCCCCUUUCUGCUACAACAGCCCUCUUGUCUCCGAUAAGCUUUGCCACCCUGCAAUAUGAGUAUAACUGAUUAGUAUUACUAUUAUAUCAUAGACAGUUAGACACAGCUUCAAUUGCAGAUAUUCAACGGGUGGGAAAAAGGGGAUAAAGUCCCUCAAGAACUCAUUAACCAUUUCAAACUUGUCAUGGUGAACAUGAGUAGUAUCUCUUCUAUGUACUGAUGAGUUGUGAUAAACCCUUACUCAUAAGCUAAUUUGAGAUAUAAGUUCAAAGCAGCUUAUAAGGAAAUCAUAAGCUUAUUCAAAAACUUGUUACAAUAUUUGGCUGUUAGACUCACCUAAAAUAGGGAGAGCUCGUAUUCUCCUGUACGGUUUUUACCUGACCAAUCCUCUGCACAACCUCCAACCCUUCUAAUACUCUUCCAACUACCAGAGAUGAUGCAUCCAAUUCUGGAGAAUCCUUUGUGGCAAUGACAAAUUCUGUCCCAUUGGGAUCAAUUCCAACUUCUUCUUGAUCAAUCUCCAGCUUCCCCAUUCUUGCAACCAGCUUCAUCUUUGGAGGCGGUUUAGACGGGUCUCUCACAAUAAUGCCAACACUUCCAGCCACAUUUUUAGUCCCAGGGCACCCUUCAUAAGUUCUCUCCCAUUCCUCAACAAGACUAUCAGCUGCCAAAUCACCCCCUGUCCCUCUGGCCAUUUCUGCAUCCACGCCAUAGGAUCGAAGUCCACCGUGUUGGACAUAAUUGGGCAGGAUUUUGACAAACUCUUUUCUUCUGUAGCUAACACCAGCAGCUCCACUGACAAUCUUGCUAAACCUAUCAACUCCUGCAGGGACAUCAUCUCCAUAUAGCCCUAUAGUAAUGCGACCGACAGGUUCGCGAUCAAUGGCUAUGUCAAAAAACACUUUCUUAGUAGGUUUUCUUUCAGUGCAGCUGGGAGUGGUUGUGGUAGUUAAAUUCUCUUCUGGUUUAUCACUGUUACUUGGCUCGACGACAUUUUCUUCUGCUCUUGCUUUGGUUCCAUCCACUGCCUGAGCACCCAAAAGAAGAAGCAAGCUAGAGUUGCUGAGGAUUGUGAGCUCUCUACGUGACAAUCUGCAUUGCUGUUUGAUGAUUGGAAGAGUGGGUAAUAGUUGUAAUGAUGAAGGAGGUGGUGCUGAUGUACGAGUUGGUGGAUGAUUGAAUGGUUGAGGGGAAGAUCCUAGUACUCUUGGGUUUUGUAGCAUUUUUCUGCUUCUGUUGGCUCUGCUUAUGAAUUGGUUUAUGUUACUGUCUGCAUUAGGUUUUUCUUUGGGAGGUUAUGGGAUUUAGAAAAGAAACGAUAGAGCAGAAUAGAUAGAGUAACAGAUACUGAAGAGAUUUCGUGGAUAAGAAACAUGGAAAUAGCUAUGUUCUGUGGCAACCAUUUGUUUGUUGAAUAUCAGAAUUUUAUUAUACACACAACUUCAUAUGGGUCCCUUUAAGUCUUUAACUAUUUGAAAAAAUAAAAAGAAAUGCGGAAGAUAUACGCAUAUAGCAAUAUGCACACUUAUUUCGGGCUUUCACUUUGCCCCAUCGGGGUUUAAUUGGACUUACCAAAAUUUUACAAUGCUUUGACCAAAAUAAUAAAAAAAUACUUGUGAAUAAUUAGAAUUUCAUUUCAUGUAUCUCGGUUUAAUAUUAGAGAAAAUGUAAAUGUGAUUUCAUGUAUCUCGGUGUAUUAAUGAAGUAAUUAGAAUUUGUCACGUUAAGUUUAAUGUAGAUUGAAAAAGUAAAAUUUUGCCGCAUUGAGUUUAACAAAAAUUCAAACACACACUUAAUUGCUAACAACAUCUAUAAUGUGAGUUGUUUAUGUGAGUUGUGUUCUUGCCCAAAAUACCACAUAUGAUCUAAAUGACAAUUCUACUAGUUUUUAUACCCGGAAAUAUAAUAUAUCUUCACUCAUUUCAUUGACAGUCAAUAAAGAUAUGAAUAGAAGAGAGAGAAUUGACUUAUAUGAAGAAAAAAAAUUAUUUACUUUCGUACCCAAUUUUUUUUUUUUGAAAGUUAUUUAAAUAUAUUAAUCAAGCCGGCAUCGAGGCUAAAGCAACAGAGCGAACAAAAGUGUGAAGUUUAGGAGGCCCCUCCUCUAUUCCAACCAACUCUGUUUACUUUGAUGUUAGUAUUUUAUUGGGUCGUGGUAGCUUCAUACCUAACUUUUCCGACCUUACUUUCUAUUUCGAUCACUUUCUAAUUUUCUUAUCACACCAUCAAUUACAUCUUUCAUUCUCAUAUUAGGAUAAUAUUCUGUUCACAUUUCAUUUUUAAGUGUAAAUGGAAUAGAGAGAAAAGAAAUGUAUGAAGAAAAGAAAGAAAAAUUAAAAAAGCCUUGAAUGAUGUGAUCCAAAGAGAAGGAGAAACAUACAAAAAUUGCAACGUAAAUGAAGUGAAAGUGUGAAUAAAUCAUAACUUUUUUCAAUGGGUAAGUUUUAUCCACACAUCGAAAUCACUCACAUCUAGUGAGAAAUGAGAAAUAAAAAAAAAACAAAUGAGAAAAAAUAAGAAGACUAAAAUGAGUUGAAAUGAGAUGAAUGCAAGAACUAAAUGAAUCAAAACCCUUCCACUUGAACAAAAGAGUGAGUUAGCUAAUUGCUACCAACUGAGUAGGGUUUAAGACAAUGCGAACCUCCAUGGGCACGCUUUCAAGGACCCUUCAUCGCUCUCUACUAUCCACCCUCAAUCCCAACCACCACCUUCCACGGCACUUCUCCACCACCCUCCUCUCCGACUCCGAAGACUCCCCCCACGGCGGCGACUCACCAUCCCCUCCACCCUCACAAACCGAAAGGACCAUCUUCGAUCGACCCCUCGAGAAUGGCCUCGACGUCGGCAUUUACAGG
rnacentral:lncRNA from 1 species